rnacentral:rRNA from 1 species
UACGUAGGCAGCGAGCGUUGUUCGGAGUUACUGGGCGUAAAGAGUGCGUAGGCGGUUUUCUAAGUUUGGUGUGAAAUAUCCCGGCUCAACCGGGAGGGUGCGAUUGAUACUGGGCGGCUCGAGUAACAGCGAGGUUGGCGGAAUUGACGGUGUAGCGGUGAAAUGCAUAGAUAUCGUCAAGAACACCGAUAGCGAAGGCAGCCAACUAGGGGUUAACUGACGCUGAGGCACGAAAGUGCGGGGAUCAAACAGG